UGGGGAAUAUUGCACAAUGGGCGCAAGCCUGAUGCAGCCAUGCCGCGUGUAUGAAGAAGGCCUUCGGGUUGUAAAGUACUUUCAGUCGGGAGGAAGGUGGUAAGGUUAAUAACCUUGGCAAUUGACGUUACCGACAGAAGAAGCACCGGCUAACUCCGUGCCAGCAGCCGCGGUAAUACGGAGGGUGCAAGCGUUAAUCGGAAUUACUGGGCGUAAAGCGCACGCAGGCGGUUGAUUGAGUCAGAUGUGAAAACGCGGGGCUUAACUUCGCGCGUGCAGUGGGUACGGGCAGGCUUGAGUGUGGUAGGGGUGACUGGAAUUCCAGGUGUAGCGGUGGAAUGCGCAGAUAUCUGGAGGAACACCGAUGGCGAAGGCAGGUCACUGGGCCAUUACUGACGCUGAGGAGCGAAAGCAUGGGUAGCGAACAGG
rnacentral:rRNA from 1 species